rnacentral:rRNA from 1 species
GCCCCGCGAGGGACGGCGCCGCCCCGGGGCUCGUGAUAUCUCAUCUCGCCGCCCGUCGCGAGGCGGACGGAGGGAUGGAUGAGGUUACCUGGAAAAAUCGGGGCGAUCUAGGCGGGCGAACCUCGCCAACGAACGAUCGGACAUGGGAUAACGGAAGAGGGCGUCGGCUCGACUUCGUCGGUUCCUCGGGCCGAGGCACGUACGGUGAAUAGGGACGGUCGGGGCCGCCCGUACCGGGUCGUGAGAGGUGAAAUUCUAGGAUCGACCCGAGACGAACCGCCGCGAAAGCAUUCGGCAAGGACGCUUUCAUUAAUCAAGAACGAAAGUCGGGGGAUCGAAGACGAUCAGAUACCGUCGUAGUCCCGACCGUAAACGAUGCCGACCGAGGGCCCGGAGGAGUUACGUACGACCCUCCGGGCCCUCCCGCGAGAAAUCAGGAGUAUUCGGGUUCCGGGGGGAGUAUGGUCGCAAGGCCGAACUU